AUUGAACGCUGGCGGCAGGCUUAACACAUGCAAGUCGAGCGAGCGGCGGACGGGUGAGUAAUGUCUGGGAAACUGCCUGAUGGUGGGGGAUAACUACUGGAAACGGUAGCUAAUACCGCAUACCAUCUGAUGUGCCCAGAUGGGAUUAGCUGGUAGGUGGGGUAAUGGCUCACCUAGGUGACGAUCCCUAGCUGGUCUGAGAGGAUGACCAGCCACCCUGGAACUGGGACACGGGCCAGACUACUACGAGAGGCAGCAGUGGGGAGAAUUGCACAAUGGGCGCAAGCCUGAUGCAGCCGUGCCGCGUGUGUGAAGAAGGCCUUCGGGUUGUAAAGCACUUUCAGCGAGGAGGCGUUACUCGCAGAAGAGGCACAGGCUAACUCCGGGCCAGCAACCGCGGUAAUAC
rnacentral:rRNA from 1 species